rnacentral:rRNA from 1 species
GACGAACGCUGGCGGCGUGCCUAAUACAUGCAAGUAGAACGCUGAAGGAGGAGCUUGCUCUUCUGGAUGAGUUGCGAACGGGUGAGUAACGCGUAGGUAACCUGCCUGGUAGCGGGGGAUAACUAUUGGAAACGAUAGCUAAUACCGCAUAACAGUAGAUGUUGCAUGACAUUUACUUAAAAGGUGCAAUUGCAUCACUACCAGAUGGACCUGCGUUGUAUUAGCUAGUUGGUGGGGUAACGGCUCACCAAGGCGACGAUACAUAGCCGACCUGAGAGGGUGAUCGGCCACACUGGGACUGAGACACGGCCCAGACGCCUACGGGAGGCAGCAGUAGGGAAUCUUCGGCAAUGGACGGAAGUCUGACCGAGCAACGCCGCGUGAGUGAAGAAGGUUGUCGGAUCGUAAAGCUCUGUUGUAAGAGAAGAACGAGUGUGAGAGUGGAAAGUUCACACUGUGACGGUAUCUUACCAGAAAGGGACGGCUAACUACGUG